UACGGGGGGAGCAAGCGUUGUUCGGAUUUACUGGGCGUAAAGGGCGCGUAGGCGGCGUAACAAGUCACUUGUGAAACCUCCGGGCUUAACCCGGAGCGGCCAAGUGAUACUGUUGUGCUAGAGUGCGGAAGGGGCUACUGGAAUUCUCGGUGUAGCGGUGAAAUGCGUAGAUAUCGAGAGGAACACCUGCGGCGAAGGCGGCUAUCUGGACGGUUUCUGACACUAAGACUCGAAAGCGUGGGGAGCAAACAGG
rnacentral:rRNA from 1 species